rnacentral:rRNA from 2 species
UGGGGAAUAUUGCACAAUGGGCGAAAGCCUGAUGCAGCAACGCCGCGUGGAGGAUGAAGGCCUUCGGGUUGUAAACUCUUGUCUUCUGGGACGAUAAUGACGGUACCAGAGGAGGAAGCCACGGCUAACUACGUGCCAGCAGCCGCGGUAAUACGUAGGUGGCAAGCGUUGUCCGGAUUUACUGGGCGUAAAGGAUGCGUAGGCGGAUAUUUAAGUGGGAUGUGAAAUACCCGGGCUCAACCUGGGUGCUGCAUUCCAAACUGGGUAUCUGGAGUGCGGGAGAGGAGAGUGGAAUUCCUAGUGUAGCGGUGAAAUGCGUAGAGAUUAGGAAGAACACCAGUGGCGAAGGCGACUCUCUGGACCGUAACUGACGCUGAGGCAUGAAAGCGUGGGGAGCAAACAGG